rnacentral:rRNA from 1 species
AUUGAACGCUGGCGGCAGGCCUAACACAUGCAAGUCGAGCGGCAGCGGGAAAGUAGCUUGCUACUUUUGCCGGCGAGCGGCGGACGGGUGAGUAAUGCCUGGGAAAUUGCCCAGUCGAGGGGGAUAACAGUUGGAAACGACUGCUAAUACCGCAUACGCCCUACGGGGGAAAGCAGGGGACCUUCGGGCCUUGCGCGAUUGGAUAUGCCCAGGUGGGAUUAGCUAGUUGGUGAGGUAAUGGCUCACCAAUGCGACGAUCCCUAGCUGGUUUGAGAUGAUGAUCAGCCACACUGGAACUGAGACACGGUCCAGACGCCUACGGGAGGCAGCAGUGGGGAAUAUUGCACAAUGGGGGAAACCCUGAUGCAGCCAUGCCGCGUGUGUGAAGAAGGCCUUCGGGUUGUAAAGCACUUUCAGCGAGGAGGAAAGGUUGAUGCCUAAUACGUAUCAACUGUGACGUUACUCGCAGAAGAAGCACCGGCUAACUCCGUGCCAGCAGCCGCAGUAAGAC